AAUCUUUGGCAGAGGCCAGAAACAGGAGUAGGCUUCUUGGCUGCCUGUCCUGAUAAACAAUCUGUUCUUGGGAAGAGUAGGUGAAGGGGCUGCGGGAGGUAAUCUGCGGGCAUGGGAGAGAGGGUAGGAAUGGGGGGGGGGGGGCACCGCAAAGCCUGCCCUCAGGGAGAAAUGCAAGUGCCCCUCCUCCCGCACCGGUGGUUUAGGGGUAGGUCAGGUUUCCUGCCCUUAAUAGAGUGGGUAGACAGUGGAUCUUUUCUUCCUGCCAGUUCCUAAUGUCCAGGGCGCGCCACUGGGCCACGGAAGGCUUAAAGGAGAAGAAGAGAGCAAAACCGGUGCGCGCCACACGGUUUCGGACCAUCUACAAAGCUGUGCUCUAGGCGCGACAGCCCAUCCCCCAGCGCGUGGGCGCAGAACCUGCUCUCGAUCAAGGGAAACCAAGGCAGUAGCAGAGAAUGCCGAGUUGGGGCGGCCGCUGUAGAGCUUAUUAUAAAGCAUAACGGGGGAAGCCAGACUGUGGGCAAAACAAAAGGAGAGACUAUUUGGCGGAGUCGGAGGUCGCUGGGAUCGAAACUCCCGAGGCAAGAAAGCUGGCUGUGGAUUUUGCAGCGGGGAUAUUGUGUGAGCAACCAGGCAGAAAUUGGCAAUAUGUAAAAGUGGGAGGGGGGAGAGAGUGGGCGGAAAGGCAAAUCAGUGCCUAGAAGGCUGCGCACGGCUGGGAAAUGUCACCAAGGAGAGCGCAGUGGCACCGAAUAAAAGAUGAAUGAUAGACUA
rnacentral:lncRNA from 1 species